GGGUGUGUGGGUUUAGCUUUGUGCUUGUGAGUUAUGCUUUUUAUGUGUAAAUGGUGGUGAUGGCAAUUUGAGCAUGAAUGAAGAAAGAUAAGGGUACAUGGAUCCUACGUGUGAAGUAUGUGUGAUUUCAGGGAGUAUGUUUUGAAAAUGAAGUGAGAUGAGAUGGAGAUGGAAGUGUCUGUGUGUUGGAGGAGAUGAAGGUCGUUGAUGGUGAAUUGAUAACAUGGGUAAUGAAUGGUGAAGGUGAUGCUUUAGUAUGAAUGAAGCAUCACUAAGGAGGUGAAGGUAAAUGAUAUCUAUGAAAGACAAAGGUGGUGGUGGAGUUAGCUAUGGUCAUGGAAGGGUGCUGACAGGACUGAAGCGUUUAUUAAAGGCGUGAUGGAAGAUUAUGGUGAUGAGGGUGAGUCAAGUAAAUGUUGAGGGAGGAAAAAUACAUAAAAUGGAGACUUUAUUGGGUUGAUGUUGAAGGUUUGGAUGAAGAAUAAUGGAGGAAAGGGUGGAGUUGUUAGCAAAAGGAUGAAACAAUGAAGUUUUGAUGAUGUUCAAAAUCAAGUUUCAGAAACUCACAUUGCAAGAAGAUCUUUAUGAAGACCAGUUUUAUGUGUUAAAGCUUUUGUAAUAAGUAGUUUUCGUAUAGGAUGUAAUGUUUUGUUUGAUUCCUUGUAAUUUAUGCUUUAAUAUUCAUUUUGGAGUCAAUAGAGACAAUGACUUUGUGCUUGCAUCCAAUAAAGACAACGACUUUGUGCUUGUUCUGGAAGUAAAACACUUUAGGCGAGACAUGCAUUUCCAACUACGGCAACCGUAGAACCGCAUUUCCAAUUGCGACAACCGCAAAACCACACUCCC
rnacentral:lncRNA from 1 species